UGCCUCUGAAGUCAGCCCUUGGUGGAAAGGGAUACUCCAGAAGGGCCUCACUGCAACAUGUUUCUUAUGCAGAAUCUUGUCCAAACACAGUUGCCUAAACAUGCCUCUGUUUCAGGUAAAUUCAGGAGGUGUUGUAUUUCAAGGAUCCAGACCUGCUGGAUGUCCAAAACCACAGCCUUGAUAAAGUCUCCUUUAAAGCUUUUCAAAAAUGUCACAUUGGCACAGAAGUCCCUUAACCAGAAGGUAUCCGAAGCUGGGAAAGUGAUGCUCACUUCCAGCUGAUGGAGCACCGAGGAGAGUUAGAUCAAGGUGUGCCUGGACCCAUCCCAGCUGAGCUCUAGGUGGUUGCAUGGCUGUCUCACCAACCUACCAUUCAAAAGCAACACCUUGCUUCCCCUUAUCUAAAAUGGAGCUGGUG
rnacentral:lncRNA from 1 species